UGGCAAAUAAUACCUGAAUCUCAUUCUCAUUUAUUCCUACUUUUGAGAGUUAGUAGGAAAAGACAACAGGAUUAUUUCCUGAUUACAUAUCUGUAACAGUGAAUAGAGAUGCUUUGUGAGGUAGAAGGACACAUAAUCAGGCAUUUCUGUUUAAAGCCACAGAUGAAGAGUGAAACCUUUGAUCAGUCAUCACAAUGCCUGUAAGAUGGUCUAAAACCAUAUUUGAAGACAUCUGGAUGGUUGAUCUUCUUAUUCAAAUGGAAGUUUCGGCAUUAUAUGAAGAUACACUGUCUGUACAUGGAUUUUUCUGUGUGUGAUAGUAUAUGUAUGCGUGUGUGAGAGAGAACAAGGAUGUGGGGGAGGGACAUACAGGUUCCACCUACGGAACUAAGAAGGACAGAAGGAACCAGGUAGAUUUGGUGCUCUUUGUUAGGACAGAUCUUUGAGCCACAAUUCCUCCCAUUAGACUAGAAUGGCUAAAUCUUCUGGACACAUCUAAUCUUUCCAUUAUAGAUGAGUGGAAUCUGAUAGGAAAAGUUUGUUUGUUUUUGUUUUGCUUUGAUGUCUAGGAUUUGGGGUGCAGCAUUUCUGAAGCUGGAGUAUUACAAUCCACAGAGGAAUCAGGGAGCAAUCCCGCUGAGCAGAGAAGACUUCUAAGAUCUGAAGAAGUGGCAGCCCUGCAUGCCCUAUGGAGCAGCCUCAUUCUACACAAAAAGAAAUGGAAGCAUUGAGAGGUAAGCUCUUACUCAAGUCACACUGCUGGUUAAGUGGCUGAGCUGAGAUCUGAACUUGGACCUCCCGGUUCCAGAGCUCUUGCCCCCAGAGAAGCUUAUACAGCUGGAUAGAGACAGGUAUGUACACAAAAACGCAGAAAAGAGCCACACAAGGAGGGGAGGGGAAUCUGAGUAUGGACUCAGGAAAUCAGAGUUGGAAUGGACGCAGCUCAAGCUUCUGAGCAGAGCAAGCCUGGGGCUGUGACCUGCCCAGCUGCCAAGUCUCGCGCCCAGAGGGGCACAGCGGGGGGCUUAAGGCAGGCUCGCUGUCAGAGGGGGUGGGGUGUGGGUAGGGGUGGGGGUUGUAUGCUUUUAAAAAACCUUUUAUAGCAUCGUUUUAAGGAAAACGUUGCAUAUUCAUCUCCAAAGAAAAUAUGCAUUGUGGCUCCAUAAUAUAACGCUGGACUGGCCAAGAGAAAGCCUAUCUAAACCUGGCACCUGAAGCUAUCCGUCACAGCCAGCUCUGGGGAAGCGGGUCAUCUGACGUGGAAUCAACACCUGCGAAAGGAGGCCAAACUCCUUUAGAGCAUAUUCUAGUUUCACAAACCUCUGUUCCAAGAGACUCACACUAUUCCUAGUUCACGGAGUCAGAACUCUCCUGGCAAAUAUUUAAUGAUUUUCUCAAAGUGGCAGAGAAAGUCAGGCUCUUCCUGCUUCCUUGAAAUGGCGCUGGCACUGGCUGAAUGAAAAGGGGACCAGCUGUAUACUGCCUUCCAGGCUGAGAGAAACCCUAGGGACAAGGCAGGGCCUCCUCACCCAGCAGGAGAGAACCCACAGGCAGCCGGCCCCCUCCGCCUCUUCCCCCACCCAUUACGGCUCCUCCUAAGGCUUUCCAACAAAAUCGGCCUCCACUCACUUGGGAAGGUUUCCUGGGGCUCCGCAUCAGGGCUCCGGGCGCCCGACCUGCUGGCUUUCUCACCGGGCAGUUUCAGGAGUUGGGCGAGUUACUUGACCUCUCCAUGCCUCCAUUCCUCACCAGUGGAAGAAGGAUAAUAAUAGCAACUCCCUCACGGGGUGCAACCGGGAUGAAGUGAGUUCAUAUUUGCAAAGCGAUUAAAACAGCACUCGGCACACAGUGAGAAACUGUGCUGUAAGAGGUUAUAGCCCUGCACCUGGCCAGGGAUGGAGCUGGACCUUGAAACCCAACCUUCUGACCACAAACUGCCCUCAUAUGGCCACACCCUUCCCUCCCCACUGCCACUGCCACCUGAUGGGAGGACCAGGGCAACUCUGGAGAGCACAGAGGGCAGCCACGGCUAAGGCCGGAUGCGGCACUGUUAGGAGGGGUGUAAACUCUCUGCCCUCUGUCUGUCCACAGGCUCAGCUGUUUUCCGUGUUCUUAAAACUUCAGCACAAACAAAAGUAAAUCCCAAACUAUAACACCUCUUCCCCAUAGAACGGCUCAGAAACCAAGCCAGGCCACAGUUUCCUGCCUUGUGGCUGCCAGAUGUAGUCAGUGUUCUAGUGACCAAAUUCACAGCUAAGGUAUUGUCCUUAGAGGACAAUAAAGAGUUAUAACUUAGGAAGAGCAAAGUUCAAGUAAGUCCUGGAGCUAAUUAGAGAACAACCUAAAAAAUAAUAAAUCUCCUUUCACACAUUCUGAUUUCAGGUAAUUGUAUCAAGAUGGAUAAAACAGGGAAUUAACAUGAUUUUAAUACCCCUGAGUUUAUUCUAAUGCAAUCACAGAUAAUAAAAACUCAUUUUGACAAUUUUAUGAUAUGCUCAAAAUACUAGAGGUCAUAUUUAUUAUUUUAGCUAAUUUUCUUCCCAUUUCUAACUGUAAUAAAAAAUAGAAAUGUCACCUGAAAUAAGCUGUGAUAGGAAAAUUAAUAAAUACUCUUAAAGUACUUUAAAUAUACAAGUCAGUAAUAGAUUUACUGAAUUACAAAAAGAACUCCUUCCCUUUAAAAAGCCUGUCUCUGAUAAAUUCCGUUUCUCCUUUCUCUUUUCCAAAGUACCUAGUAGAAGGCCUUUGACAUGUGGAAAAAGAAUAAAUGUCUUCGCGUUUCAUUUUUCCUU